rnacentral:rRNA from 1 species
UACGUAGGGUGCGAGCGUUAAUCGGAAUUACUGGGCGUAAAGCGUGCGCAGGCGGUUCUCCAAGUCCGUUGUGAAAGCCCCGGGCUCAACCUGGGAAUGGCAGUGGAAACUAGGGGACUGGAAUCUGGCAGAGGGGGGCGGAAUGCCGCGUGUAGCAGUGAAAUGCGUAGAGAUGCGGCGGAACACCGAUGGCGAAGGCAGCCCCCUGGGCUGAGAUUGACGCUCAGGCACGAAAGCGUGGGGAGCAAACAGG